CUCUGGGUUGGAUGGACUGCUCCGUCCCGAGGUAUUCUGGGAGCUGUAGUUCUGUGUUGCCGGGCGGCCACAUGGGCUCCGGGGUGCGUGGUUGGUCUUUUCCCCGAGCCGGGGCCGGGCCGUGCACGCCGGGAGGCGCAGGUUGCCGCUGGAUGCAAGUUUAAGCUUGGAAAUAAAGGGGGAGUGAGGGAAGAAAAAAAGCAAAGCCUUACAGAGCCUCAGCUCCACCUAGGAACAAAUAACGGUCUGUCUGCUUCUGGAAGAACUUCCCACCGCUGAGGACGGAUGGGGUGGACCCCAAAAGCUAGAUGGGGUUGUGUGAGAGCUGGUGAUAGUGCCAGCAGGACUCCACAGCCGACAAGAGACAUCGUUGACUUUGAUGUCCAUCACAACGAAGAUGCCCUGGAUUUAAAGAUGUGCUAUCCCACCAGCUCCUUUAGGAGCCCAGCACCGCGUUUGGCCUGUUGCGAUCUUCCCGCUCCCCUCAUUUCUGUGCUGCAACGCCACCAUCCAGGAGAAGUCAGGUAGGAUCUGAAGACCUUUGACAUUGCUAAAGAAUCAAACCUCAGCUGUCAGUUUUAGCCCUUUGUAUUCCAGACGUUUGCUUUGCUGGAUGAUGGUUUCGUUUUUGAUUUUGUAAUACGUUCUUUGUAGAGGUUAUUUUAAACAGACAAGUAGGUAGCCUCCUUCCCUCGGUGGAUUUGUGCGAGUUUUAGCUGAGCUUUGCACAUCUGAGCGAUUGCCCAGUGGCUGUUCUGGUCUUGACACGUCCCUAAAACCUUUGUCCGCCUUGCCCCUCCUCUUUGUGUAUUAAGAUGCAUGUUUGCGCAAAAAUUAUUUACACCGUGCAUAAGCCCCCCAGUGGUUAUGGGGCAUUUUCAGCAUUUCACAGAUAAGGCUCCGUGUUUACUUAAUCACUUAGGCAUAGUCCUGACUUUCAGCGUAGGCAUAGCUAAUGAUUGUUACUCAAGUGGUUAUGAAGUUCCCAACGUUUGUUUGUUUAUAUAUAUAUAUAUAUAUAGAGAGAGAGAGAGAGAGAGAGGAGAGAUACAUACA
rnacentral:lncRNA from 1 species